UGUUAUUUCACUAUCCUCUAUUUGGAAAGUGAUGAAUAUGACACAUAAUGAAGAUAAACUGAUAUUUUAUUUAGAAUCGACUUUUAAAGACCAUAUAUCCAGAGAUGGAUGUUGGUGCUGGACCCUCAAGUUCGGGUUUGUUCCAGUCUGAUCUAGUUAUUGUGACAGACUCGGAGGGAUCCAGCACUGAUACAGACCUGCCUUUGCAGGCUUCUGAGAUUGAUGUUACAUGUGUGAUGUAGGAGGAAGUGGCUCCCUCUGAGUCUAAUGAUGGAACUUCCACUUCUGGGCAUCAGUCUCCCGCCCCUUCCCAUCCUGACCUCUCUCCCGGCCCUUACCAAAAAGAAAUUCCUGCCCUCCUUCGCCGCUCUCCCCUUUUUGCCCGUCCUGCUUCUAACCCACCUGCACAGCCACCAAAUCCCCCAGCCCAUGACUCCCU